CAGACUGAUACAGACAUGAAGGAAACCACCUGUCUCAUUGGGGAAUUUGGAAACAUGCCCUCGUGGCAGUGAUAAUCCUUCACCUCCUUGGGUUUUGUUUUAAUUGAGGAGAUGGCGGGAGAAUGCAGGAUGUACUCCGAGGAGGGGAAAAGGCAGCAGGUAGGGGUGAUGGAGCUCCAGAUGGACUCAGCACUUGAGGCUUGCCCAUGUGGCAGAAUACCUAUGGCUUUAGGACAGGAUCUCAGGAGCCAAAGGACAUUCAAGUGUGUAGGUGCAACUUUUAUAUGCAAAAAAACUAGCAUUUCAUAAGAACUUUAGAAAAAGAUGGAUGUGUG
rnacentral:lncRNA from 1 species